AGAUUAUAAGAGUAUACGGAGGAUGGCUCGACAAAAUAUGACGAUGAAGGACGUGGCAGCCUGCGAAAAGUUUCGGUGAGGUGGCAAGCAACCUAUGACCCGGAAAUAUCCCAAUGGGGAAACCCAAUCAGGGGAAUGCCUGAUUAUUCUGCAGUGAAUACAUAACUGCAGGAGGUGAACUCGGCGAAGUGAAACAUCUCAGUAGCCGGAGGAAAAGAAAAUAAGGAAUACUAUCAUCAUCUCGGAUCUUGAAUUUUCGAGAAACGAGAUGAUGUUAUAGUGUUCUUAUUCCCCUAGUAGUGGCGAACGAACGGGGAACAGCCCAAACCUAUAUCAUGAAGUCCGCCAACGUUUCUCUUCGGAGAAGCUACGGCGAGGCGAAAGGUAUCAGCCGUUGUGGUAUAGGUGUAGUAAGUCCUUAUGUUCCAGUCUGAUAGCUGGAGAUAUGAUACAUAGCUUCUAGUAAAAUUUGCUGGAAAGCAAAACCAAAGAAGGUGAUAGUCCUGUAUGCGAAAGGAACUAUGUACAUUUGAUAAGUGAACUUGAGUACGGCGGAACACGUGAAAUUCUGUCGGAAUCAUCCGCGACUAUGCGGAAAGGCUAAAUACGUAUUUUGAUCGAUAGUGAACAAGUACCGUGAGGGAAAGCUGAAAAGAACCCCGGAAGGGGAGUGAAAUAGAAUCUGAAACCGUAUACUUACAAGGAGUCGGAGCCAAUUUAUUUGGUGACGGCGUGCCUAUUGAAGAAUGAGCCAACGAGUCUGUCUUUGUGGCAGGUUAAGUCCUUCGGGACGAAGCCAGAGUGAAAGCGAGCCUUAACGGGCGUUAGUCGCAAGGAUAGGACCCGAAACCGAGUGACCUAACCAUGGCCAGGGUGAAGCUUGUGUGAAAACAAGUGGAGGCCCGAACCCAAGCACCGUGCAAAAUGCUGGGAUGAGCUGUGGUUAGCGGAGAAAUUCCAAUCGAACUCGGUAAUAGCUGGUUCUCUCCGAGAUAUGUUUUGGCAUAGCGUCGGUUAAUAGCGUGAUGGGGGUAGAGCACUGAUUGGGUUCGACGUCAGCAAUGAUAGUCAACCUAGCCAAACUCCGAAUACCAUUACGUGUUCCCGGCAGUCAGACCAUGGGGGCGAAGCUCCAUUGGUCGAGAGGGAAAGAGCCCAGAUCUCAAGCUAAGGUCCCUAAAUUAUUACUAAGUGUAAAAGGUAGUGAGAAGACUCAUACAACCAGGAGGUUGGCUUAGAAGCAGCCAUCCUUUAAAGAUAGCGUAAUAGCUCACUGGUCAAGUUUUCUUGCGCCGAAAAUAUACCGGGGCUAAGUAAUAUACCGAAGCUGAGGGUGUGAUAAAUUUAUUUAUCACGCGGUAGGAGAGCAUUUCUAACUGCAUUGAAGCUGUACUGUGAGGUAUGGUGGAGCGUUAGGAAGGGAGAAUGUUGGCAUGAGUAGCAAAAAGACAUGUGAGAAUCAUGUCCACCGAAAAUCUAAGGUUUCCACAGCAACGAGAAUCGACUGUGGGUUAGUCUGGACCUAAGGCGAGGCCGAAAGGCGUAGUCGAUGGACAGUAGGUUAAUAUUCCUGCACCAGAUAUUAUUUCCGAUGGGGGGACGCUUGUUCGAAUUUCCUGUGCCCUAUGGCUAUGGCAUUGGGGGUUUGGGGUGGUCGUAUAGGUAAAUCCGUACGACAUAUACACUCUGAAUCAUCGCGACUCCAACUAUGUUGGGGAAGAGGAAAAGAGAAUGGGUCAAGAAAAUCCUCUAGGGCUAAGUAAUAUCUGCCAGUACCAAAACCGACACAGGUAGAUGGGUGUGAAAGCACUAAGGUGUACGAGAGAAACAUUGUUAGGGAACUCGGCAAAACAGCGGCCGUAACUUCGGGAUAAGGCCUGGUUCUUUUCGGGAGAAAAGGACCUUCAACAAAUGAUUGCAAGCGACUGUUUACCAAAAACACAGCUCCCUGCUAAACUGCAAAGUGAUGUAUAGGGGGUGANNNNNNNNNNNNNNNNNNNNNNNNNNNNNNNNNNNNNNNNNNGGGUGAGUUCCGACCUGCACGAAUGGCAUAACGAUUUGCAAACUGUCCCAACAAUGUACUCGGCGAAAUUGCGGUAAGAGUGAAGAUGCUCUUUACGCGUAGUCGGACGAAAAGACCCCGUGAAGCUUUACUACAGGUUGUCAUUGGGUUCAUGUUCUAUAUGUUCAGUAAUAGGUGGGAGACCUUCGGGUCGCCAGUGAGAUACCACCCUUGUAUUGUGUGAAUCCUAACCAAGCACCAUGAAUCUGGUGUUUGGAACAGUGGCUGCUGGGUAGUUUGACUGGGGCGGUGGCCUCCUAAAAAGUAACGGAGGCGUCUACAAAGGUCAGCUAGGCCCGGAUGGAAAUCGGGUUGAUAGUGCAAACGCAUAAGCUGGCUUUACUGCAAGGAUGACAGUCCGCGCAGUUGCGAAAGCAGAGGUUAGUGAUCCGACCGUUCGAUAUAGGACGGCGGAAGCUCAACGGAUAAAAGCUACUCCGGGGAUAACAGGCUA
rnacentral:rRNA from 1 species